AAAAGAAACUAACAAGGAUUCCCCUAGUAACUGCGAGUGAAGCGGGAAAAGCUCAAAUUUAAAAUCUGCCGGUCAUUGGCCGUCCGAGUUGUAAUCUAGAGAAGUGUUACCCGCGCUGGACCGUGUACAAGUCUCCUGGAAUGGAGCGUCAUAGAGGGUGAGAAUCCCGUCUCUGACACGGACUCCCAGGGCUUUGUGGUAUGCUCUCAAAGAGUCGAGUUGUUUGGGAAUGCAGCUCCAAAUGGGUGGUAAAUUCCAUCUAAAGCUAAAUAUUGGCGAGAGACCGAUAGCGAACAAGUACCGUGAGGGAAAGAUGAAAAGAACUUUGGAAAGAGAGUUAAACAGUACGUGAAAUUGCUGAAAGGGAAACGCUUGAAGUCAGUCGCGUUGACCAGGGAUCAGCCUCGCAUUUGCGUGGUGCACUUUCUGGUUGACGGGUCAGCAUCAAUUUUGGCCACUGGAAAAAGUCCUGAGGAAUGUGGCAGCUCCGGCUGUGUUAUAGCCUCUGGUCGCAUACAGUGGUUGGGAUUGAGGAACUCAGCACGCCGCAAGGCCGGGUUUCGACCACGUCCGUGCUUAGGAUGCUGGCAUAAUGGCUUUAAGCGACCCGUCUUGAAACACGGACCAAGGAGUCUAACAUGCCUGCGAGUGUUUGGGUGGAAAACCCGAGCGCGCAAUGAAAGUGAAAGUUGAGAUCCCUGUCGUGGGGAGCAUCGACGCCCGGACCAGAACUUUUGGGACGGAUCCGCGGUAGAGCAUGUAUGUUGGGACCCGAAAGAUGGUGAACUAUGCCUGAAUAGGGUGAAGCCAGAGGAAACUCUGGUGGAGGCUCGUAGCGAUUCUGACGUGCAAAUCGAUCGUCAAAUUUGGG
rnacentral:rRNA from 1 species